rnacentral:lncRNA from 1 species
CAUCAUAUUCAGAAUUCAGCACAUAAAUUCUUGUAUUAUCAUAGUGUUCUUUCUGCAAAUCAAGCAUUGUUCCUUCUGUUAAUGUAUGCAAGAAAAGAAACCAUCAUUGAACCCAAAAACAGGGAGAAUAUCCUUAGCUUUAAGAAAUAAGCUAAGGUAAUCAUAGAAGACCCAAAAGGGGUUACCCAAAAAACAAAAACAGAUGUUGUUUAGUACAACAAUCAAAACCUUAAUCCCAGUAAAUCGGGUUGGUACAUAAUCAAAGCCUUAAUUCUAGUAGGUCGAGUCAGUACAUAAUCAAAACCUUAAUCCUAGUAGGUCGAGUCAGUACAUAAUCAAAGCCUUAAUCCCAGUAGGUAGAGUCAAUACGUAAUCAUAACCUUAAUCCCAGUAGGUCGGGUCGGUAUGUUGUUUACCACAGUUGUAUAUAUUGC